rnacentral:lncRNA from 1 species
CUAUAAUGAAGGGGAUUUUAUUUCAAAGUCACCUAUAAUUAUGUUGAGAUAUUUGAGAAAUUUACGGAUAUUACGUUGCGAAAAAAUUGGCGGAUGCGGAUAUUACUACUUUAAGAAAAAUAAAAUUAGAUUUUUUUAUGAAAAUAAUAUUCGCGGAUAUUACGUUAAGAAAGAAUUGGCCACCUAUAAUUAAAGAAAUUUUAUUUCAAAGUCACUUAUAAUUAUGUUGUGAUAUUUGAUAAAUUCACAGAUAUUACAUUGCGAAAGAAUUGGCGAAAGAAUUGGCGGUAAAAUUAGAUUUUUUUAUGAAAAUAAUAUUCACGGAUAUUACAUUGAGAAAGAAUUGACCACCUACAAUUAAAGGAAUUUUAUUUCAAAGUCGCUUAUAAUUAUGUUGUGAUAUUUGAUAAAUUAUAUUAUGUUGCGAAAAAAUUGGCUGGUGCGGAUAUUACGGUAGGAAAAAUAAAAUUAAAUUUUUUAAGAAAAUAAAAUCUUUUACUAUAUAGAAAAUCUACGUGUCAAGCUCAAAUAUAGAUUUUCUAAUUUUGAAAAAAUAAAAUUAAAUUUUUUAAGAAAAUAAUAUCUUUUACUAUAUUAUUAAAAAUCACCUAUAAUGAAGAAAAUUUUAUUUAAAAGUCAACUAUAAUUAUGUUGUGCGGAUAUUACUACUUUAAAAAAUCUAUUUUAUUUAGUAGGUGGAUUAAUGAGAUAUUUGAAAAAUUCACGGAUAUUACGUUGCGAAAGAAUUGGCGAGUACGGAUACUACGCAUGAGAAGAAAAAUAUUAUCUUGAACACCAGCAUUUAUAUAUUUUUGAAUUUUAAAAGUGACAGUAGGAAAAUAAUAUACGUGUGCUUACUCUAAUUUGUGUCAAAUAUGAAAGUUUAGUUAAUCUCAUUAUAUGCUUAAAUAUUAAUGUCAUUUGUAAUUUUUCAUAUCAAUUUUAGUUAUUAUUUUGUUUUGCACACCAAUAUGUAAAUGUAAAUUAUUUUGCACACUAAUUCAUAGAUAAUAGAGUAGGGUUGAAUUUUGCAUUUUACUUGAGUAUUUACUUUGGUACUAUAAUUAAGAUUGAUAGUAUAUUUUUUAUUUGUUAAAAAAAUAUAAAAUUAAUUAGAAUAUUUUUUUUAUCAUCACGUAAUAACUUUUAUUAUUUUAUAUUAUUAUAUUAGCCGUGCAUCCCACGGGUGAAAAGCUAGUUUCUAUCUAAAAUAAAGCUAAAAUAUAAAGAACUUCCUAAAUAUCUUUUUUUUUCACUUCCUCCUAGCCACCCGAUUUUCAAAAUCCUAUGUUUCACUCCCUCAAAAAUUCAAAUUGAUGCACUUAGUCCACUUCCUUCAGGAUUUCAUUACUGUUUCGUCUACUUCAUAUAAUUUAUACAAAAAAUAUCUCUUAGACUAAUAAAAAUAGAUUAAAAAUUUUUCACUCUAGAACAAAUAAGGACAAUUUGAUCAUUUCACCUUUUUCAUUCAGAUCAUAAUUUUCUGAAAAUAUUUUAAAAAUUUUAAGAAGCCAAAAUAUGAAUUUCUGAAAGUCAAA